UGAUGAGAAUACAAGUACAACAUGCGCUCUAUGCCCUGCGAUGACUUACACUACCUCUCCUAACGGAUUGACAGAAUGUUUGCCAUGUUUUGUCUGUGACACAAGUAAUGGGCUGAGAGUAAAGCAGGAAUGUACAUUAAUAUCAAAUACAGUUUGUGAACCUCUGUCAGGUUAUUACUGUAUAGACUUGCUCUCAAGCUGUAAAAAGGCCGUGAAAUAUUCAACCUGCUCACCCGGACAAUACAUCAACCAAACAGGAACAGAAUUGACUGAUACAGUGUGUGAUGACUGUCCUGUUGGUUCAUAUUCAGAUGAUACAUUCUGCAAAUUGCAUACAAACUGUGAACCUCUUGGCAAAAUAACCAUCAGGGAAGGAACCGACACGACUGAUGCGGAGUGCAGUAAUGGAGUGCCUUCUUAUUUAUUACCACUCAUUCUGUCUGUGUGUGUGCUGGUGGUAUUCAUAACUC